AGUCGGACGAGAAGGUUCCUUCGGGAACUGGAGAGUGGCGCACGGGUGAGUAACGCGUGGGGACCUACCUCUUAGUGGGGGAUAACGGUUGGAAACGACCGCUAAUACCGCAUACGCCCUUCGGGGGAAAGAUUUAUCGCUAAGAGAUGGACCCGCGUUGGAUUAGAUAGUUGGUGAGGUAACGGCUCACCAAGUCGGCGAUCCAUAGCUGGUUUGAGAGGAUGAUCAGCCACACUGGGACUGAGACACGGCCCAGACUCCUACGGGAGGCAGCAGUGGGGAAUAUUGGACAAUGGGGGCAACCCUGAUCCAGCCAUGCCGCGUGAGUGAAGAAGGCCUUCGGGUUGUAAAGCUCUUUCAGAUGCGAAGAUGAUGACGGUAACAUCAGAAGAAGCCCCGGCUAAUUUCGUGCCAGCAGCCGCGGUAAUACGAAAGGGGCUAGCGUUGUUCGGAUUUACUGGGCGUAAAGGGCACGCAGGCGGUCUUGCCAGUCAGGGGUGAAAGCCCGGGGCUCAACCCCGGAACUGCCUCUGAUACUGCAAGACUAGAGACUAGGAGAGGGUGGUGGAAUUCCCAGUGUAGAGGUGAAAUUCGUAGAUAUUGGGAGGAACACCAGAGGCGAAGGCGGCCACCUGGACUAGAUCUGACGCUCAGGUGCGAAAGCGUGGGGAGCAAACAGGAUUAAAUACCCUGGUAGUCCCCGCCGUAAACAAUAAGUGCUAGUUGUCGGGAUUUCAAUUUCGGGGACGCAGCUAACGCAUUAGGCCCCCCCCCUGGGGAGUACGGUCCCAAGAUAAAACUCAAAGG
rnacentral:rRNA from 1 species